rnacentral:rRNA from 1 species
AGAGUUUGAUCAUGGCUCAGAUUGAACGCUGGCGGCAGGCCUAACACAUGCAAGUCGAGCGGAUGAAGGGAGCUUGCUCCUGGAUUCAGCGGCGAACGGGUGAGUAAUGCCUAGGAAUCUGCCUGGUAGUGGGGGAUAACGUCCGGAAACGGGCGCUAAUACCGCAUACGUCCUGAGGGAGAAAGUGGGGGAUCUUCGGACCUCACGCUAUCAGAUGAGCCUAGGUCGGAUUAGCUAGUUGGUGGGGUAAAGGCCUACCAAGGCGACGAUCCGUAACUGGUCUGAGAGGAUGAUCAGUCACACUGGAACUGAGACACGGUCCAGACUCCUACGGGAGGCAGCAGUGGGGAAUAUUGGACAAUGGGCGAAAGCCUGAUCCAGCCAUGCCGCGUGUGUGAAGAAGGUCUUCGGAUUGUAAAGCACUUUAAGUUGGGAGGAAGGGCAGUAAGUUAAUACCUUGCUGUUUUGACGUUACCAACAGAAUAAGCACCGGCUAACUUCGUGCCAGCAGCCGCGGUAAUACGAAGGGUGCAAGCGUUAAUCGGAAUUACUGGGCGUAAAGCGCGCGUAGGUGGUUCAGCAAGUUGGAUGUGAAAUCCCCGGGCUCAACCUGGGAACUGCAUCCAAAACUACUGAGCUAGAGUACGGUAGAGGGUGGUGGAAUUUCCUGUGUAGCGGUGAAAUGCGUAGAUAUAGGAAGGAACACCAGUGGCGAAGGCGACCACCUGGACUGAUACUGACACUGAGGUGCGAAAGCGUGGGGAGCAACAGGAUUAGAUACCCUGGUAGUCCACGCCGUAAACGAUGUCGACUAGCCGUUGGGAUCCUUGAGAUCUUAGUGGCGCAGCUAACGCGAUAAGUCGACCGCCUGGGGAGUACGGCCGCAAGGUUAAAACUCAAAUGAAUUGACGGGGGCCCGCACAAGCGGUGGAGCAUGUGGUUUAAUUCGAAGCAACGCGAAGAACCUUACCUGGCCUUGACAUGCUGAGAACUUUCCAGAGAUGGAUUGGUGCCUUCGGGAACUCAGACACAGGUGCUGCAUGGCUGUCGUCAGCUCGUGUCGUGAGAUGUUGGGUUAAGUCCCGUAACGAGCGCAACCCUUGUCCUUAGUUACCAGCACCUCGGGUGGGCACUCUAAGGAGACUGCCGGUGACAAACCGGAGGAAGGUGGGGAUGACGUCAAGUCAUCAUGGCCCUUACGGCCAGGGCUACACACGUGCUACAAUGGUCGGUACAAAGGGUUGCCAAGCCGCGAGGUGGAGCUAAUCCCAUAAAACCGAUCGUAGUCCGGAUCGCAGUCUGCAACUCGACUGCGUGAAGUCGGAAUCGCUAGUAAUCGUGAAUCAGAAUGUCACGGUGAAUACGUUCCCGGGCCUUGUACACACCGCCCGUCACACCAUGGGAGUGGGUUGCUCCAGAAGUAGCUAGUCUAACCGCAAGGGGGACGGUUACCACGGAGUGAUUCAUGACUGGGGUGAAGUCGUAACAAGGUAGCCGUAGGGGAACCUGCGGCUG